rnacentral:rRNA from 2 species
UCGACCUGAACUCAGACGUGAGU